AAAGAAUUUAACAUCAUGUCUUCGAUGAAUAGCAUUUGGUAAUUUUUUACAUUUAUUUUUUAUUUUUAAAAUUCUCUGUUAGUGAUUUCAAGAUUAUUCGGACAAAGCAAGAUUUGCAAUUAAAUUGUCAAACCUCUUUCGGGUUCUAUUGAAGUCAAAAAUGGGGAAGUGUACUCCUAGGCGAAAGAUGCGCAAAACACGCUGCCGGUCAAAGUCGGGCCGGUUUAAACGAUGUCGGUGUGGUGAUCGCCGUUAUUCAAUACGACCAAAAAGUCGUUGUCGACGAAGAUCACGGUCGCGACGGCGCAGAUCACGUUCUUGCCGAAGCCGGGGACGGUACAAUUGGAGAUGCCGAUCCCGCUCGGGGAGAUUUAAAAGAUGCAAACGUUGUGAUCGAAGAUACCGCCUAAGGAAGAGGUCGACUUCUUAAAUUCUUGUGGUUGGAGUAAAUUGGGACUAGAUUAAAGAAGCUCUGAGUGGUUGGUCAUAUUAGUAAUGACUCAAAGCUUCUUUAGUCCAAUUUACACGUGAUCCGUCUUCCCGUUUGAUGAAUGAAAAUCAAAGGAAACGUUUCAUCUUUCGUUUUAAUAGUGGCACCCAUGGGCGUUUUGUUUUACAAUCGUUAUAGUAUUUUUGCAGUAUGAAAUAAAUUGUUAUCUCAGUAUUAUUGUUCAGUUAUGUUUAAUUUAUUUUUUAUAAAUAAUAUUUUUCAUUUUUAUUUUAUAAAAAGA